rnacentral:rRNA from 1 species
AUUGAACGCUGGCGGCAGGCCUAACACAUGCAAGUCGAGCGAGCGGCGGACGGGUGAGUAAUGUAUGGGGACUGCCCGAUCGAGGGGGAUAACUACUGGAAACGGUGGCUAAUACCGCAUACUGUCGGAUAACCCAUAUGGGAUUAGCUAGUAGGUAAGGUAAUGGCUUACCUAGGCGACGAGCCCUAGCUGGUCUGAGAGGAGGAUCAGCCGCCCGAGGACUGAGACACGGCCCUUAGUCCUACGGAGGCAGCAGUGGGGAAUAGUGGACAAUGGGGGCAAGCCUUAUGCAGCCAUGCCGAGUGUAUUAAGAAGGCGCUAGGGGUGUAAAGUACGUUCAGGCGGUAGGCGUUACCGACAGAAGAAGCACCGGCUAACUCCGUGCCAGCAGCCGCGGUAAUUC